UACGUAGGGUGCAAGCGUUGUCCGGAAUUAUUGGGCGUAAAGAGCUCGUAGGCGGUUUGUUGCGUCGGCUGUGAAAGCCCGAGGCUUAACCUCGGGUCUGCAUUCGAUACGGGCUAGCUAGAGUGUGGUAGGGGAGAUCGGAAUUCCUGGUGUAGCGGUGAAAUGCGCAGAUAUCGGGAGGAACACCUAUGGCGAAGGCAGCUCGCUGGGACGUUACUGACGCUGAGACGCGAAAGCGUGGGGAGCAAACAGG
rnacentral:rRNA from 1 species